rnacentral:rRNA from 1 species
GAUAUCAAAGAUUUUAUCGCUUGAAGAUGGACUCGCGUCCGAUUAGUUAGUUGGUGAGGUAACGGCUCACCAAGACCGCGAUCGGUAGCCGGACUGAGAGGUUGAACGGCCACAUUGGGACUGAGACACGGCCCAGACUCCUACGGGAGGCAGCAUG